GACGAACGCUGGCGGCGUGCUUAACACAUGCAAGUCGAACGGAAAGGCCCUGCUUUUGUGGGGUGCUCGAGUGGCGAACGGGUGAGUAACACGUGAGUAACCUGCCCUUGACUUUGGGAUAACUUCAGGAAACUGGGGCUAAUACCGGAUAGGAGCCCCUGCUGCAUGGUGGGGGUUGGAAAGUUUCGGCGGUUGGGGAUGGACUCGCGGCUUAUCAGCUUGUUGGUGGGGUAGUGGCUUACCAAGGCUUUGACGGGUAGCCGGCCUGAGAGGGUGACCGGCCACAUUGGGACUGAGAUACGGCCCAGACUCCUACGGGAGGCAGCAGUGGGGAAUAUUGCACAAUGGGCGGAAGCCUGAUGCAGCAACGCCGCGUGCGAGAUGACGGCCUUCGGGUUGUAAACCGCUUUCGCCUGUGACGAAGCGUGAGUGACGGUAAUGGGUAAAGAAGCACCGGCUAACUACGUG
rnacentral:rRNA from 1 species